rnacentral:rRNA from 1 species
UACGGGGGGAGCAAGCGUUGUUCGGAAUUACUGGGCGUAAAGCGUGCGCAGGCGGUGAUGUAAGGCAGAUGUGAAAUCCCCGGGCUCAACCUGGGAACUGCAUUUGUGACUGCAUCGCUGGAGUGCGGCAGAGGGGGAUGGAAUUCCGCGUGUAGCAGUGAAAUGCGUAGAUAUGCGGAGGAACACCGAUGGCGAAGGCAAUCCCCUGGGCCUGCACUGACGCUCAUGCACGAAAGCGUGGGGAGCAAACAGG